UACGUAGGGUGCGAGCGUUAAUCGGAAUUACUGGGCGUCAAGCGUGCGCAGGCGGCGCGUUAAGACAGGUGUGAAAGCCCCGAGCUUAACUUGGGAAUUGCGCUUGUGACUGGCGUGCUGGAGUGUGGCAGAGGGAGGUGGAAUUCCACGUGUAGCAGUGAAAUGCGUAGAGAUGUGGAGGAACACCGAUGGCGAAGGCAGCCUCCUGGGCCAGCACUGACGCUCAUGCACGAAAGCGUGGGGAGCAAACAGG
rnacentral:rRNA from 1 species